rnacentral:ncRNA from 1 species
AUGAGUGCCAGUCCACCCCACAUUUUUCUCCGCUGCGCCAGCUCUGACGGCCGCUUGACCGGAUCCACCGGUGCCGUUCGGAGUGUGAGGCGCAAUGAGAGCAUCAUCGUCGAGCCGCUUGCCCCGAAUGUCGGGGCGGCGGCUUUUUUA